GAGGGUAUAGCUCAAGUGGUAGAGUGCAUGCUUAGCAUGCACAAGGCCCUGGGUUCAAUCCCCAGUAUCUCCU
rnacentral:tRNA from 1 species